UGCAAGUCUGGUGCCAGCAGCCGCGGUAAUUCCAGCUCCAAUAGCGUAUAUUAAAGUUGUUGCAGUUAAAAAGCUCGUAGUUGAACCUUGGGCUUGGUUGGCCGGUCCGCCUUUUUGGCGAGUACUGGACCCAACCGAGCCUUUCCUUCUGGCUAACCUUUCGCCCUUGUGGUGUUUGGCGAACCAGGACUUUUACUUUGAAAAAAUUAGAGUGUUCAAAGCAGGCCUUUGCUCGAAUAUAUUAGCAUGGAAUAAUAGAAUAGGACGUUAUGGUUCUAUUUUGUUGGUUUCUAGGACCAUCGUAAUGAUUAAUAGGGACGGUCGGGGGCAUCAGUAUUCAGUUGUCAGAGGUGAAAUUCUUGGAUUUACUGAAGACUAACUACUGCGAAAGCAUUUGCCAA
rnacentral:rRNA from 1 species